rnacentral:rRNA from 1 species
UACGAAGGGGGCUAGCGUUGCUCGGAAUCACUGGGCGUAAAGGGUGCGUAGGCGGGUUUUUAAGUCAGGGGUGAAAUCCUGGAGCUCAACUCCAGAACUGCCUUUGAUACUGAAGAUCUUGAGUCCGGGAGAGGUGAGUGGAACUGCGAGUGUAGAGGUGAAAUUCGUAGAUAUUCGCAAAAACACCAGUGGCGAAGGCGGCUCACUGGCCCGGUACUGACGCUGAGGCACGAAAGCUAGGGGAGCAAACAGG